UAGGAGAAGAUGUCUCACAGAAAGAAGAGAAGAAAGAGUAGUUUGGACACUCACAUACAUGAUCUAAAGCAAAGCUGUCAACACUAACUGCUGAUUUACAGGAUAAUGUGGGCAUGCAUCGUGCUGCCGGGAUUGCAUGGAUGCGUCUUUUGCAACACCAUUGUGCAUGUGCACCGUGACGUCAUGGAAGCAGUGCUGCGAAUGUGCAGUGAGGAACUGGGGCUCUACUUAAGCAUCAGGAGAUUGGGAAUGUGGAUGGUAAAUUUGUGAGACUCCUGAAAUAUGUUGGCAUCUCUGCAAACAGGAUUUAUCAAGGGGAGGCAAUAUCAUAAGACUUACUUAUCCAUCUCACAUAACAAAACUACGUAAAAUGCCUUCAUUGCUCUUUACUUUGGACACAGAGAUAGUGCUCGAUAGUGUUAAUUGGAUAUACAUGAAAAGAACCGUAAAACAUUUUUGGCUUUCCCUCCUUUUAGCACUCUACUCCAAAACCUCAGCCCAAGUUAAUAAUAUUCUUAUUUGAUCCAUUCCAAGUCUAUGCAAUAGAUGCCCUCUAUCCCCCUUAAUAAAUACACUUUAGUGCAAAUA